GUAUGCUGUUCACAAGAAAUGUGUUGGCUGUGGGGAAUCUUCAAUUACGCUGUUCACAUGACAUGUGUAACUGGAAGGCGAAUUCCGACCGUUGGCAGCGUAGAAGUGGAAGGAAAUGGAGACCGAACAUAUAUAUCCCAAGCUCUGUUGCUUCUGCUAUGGCAGCUUCGACCUCCUUGAGGGCUUCUCAUUCUCAGAUCUGGCUCUUCUCUUUUCCAAGGCCGCCGGGAAUAGGAGACCGAUCGUUGAAAGAGGGGUUUCUAUUAGGUAUGAUGCUGGCGGUCCCAAUGUUUUGGCCAAGACGAUAAGAAAUGAUUCCAGGGCUUCCACUCCCGGACUCUCUCAACGACUCUUCCAUUUCGGUUUUAGGGCUCAGGGAAAGCAUCAUCCGCUGGGUUCAAGCUUAAGCAACUCUUCCAAUUCGGUUUCACGGUUCAGAAUUUCAAGUAAUAAUUCAAACGAAACAGACUUCAGAUGAUCUUGAAUUGAUCAAAGUAGCAAGAGAGGGAGAUGAUAAAUGUACAUGCAUGGUAGAUGCAUGUGAAGGUACAUGCAUGUAAAACUAUCACAUGCAUUACUGUAGUCGACGAUGAUGCAAUCUGCCACUUUUAGCAUCGAAAGGACAACUUCACAUACAUCUAUUGUGGUCGGCGACGAUGCAUCUACCAUUGACGGCGAUGAAAGGACUGGUCAUUGAACUUAUAAACAGUUCAACGCUCAGAGACUUUACCAGAAAAAUGAGAAGUUUGUUGAUCUCUGUUUCAUCUGUAUUGAGAAUCCAGGUUUGAUCUGCAUCAAUUUGUGACACAUACUUAAUGUCUAUGGUUCCAAGGAAGUUCCAUGCACUCCAUGCCAUUGGAUUUGGUGCAUUAAGGUAUUGACAAGAUCAAGGAAAAUAUCACAAGCAUACAACAUUUUUCGAUGAUUUAAAAUUCAUAUUCCCAGAUAAUUAAGAACUAUGAAAUGAAGCAAAAUAGCUGAUCAGUACUAUAUUUCUUUAUGUAACUAAGUUUUGUCCGCUUAAACUAUAAAAUUAAGAAUAGGGCCAGCUUGGUAAUAAAAAAAGAGGAGUGUACAAAAUAUAUUGAUAUGGACUCCGGUUUUCAGCCAAGCAUUUUUAUUCCUCCUCCUCCCAAUGCAAGUUCUGACCACAUCAGUUUAUCUAUAUUGUCUUACUCUUUUUAAAAUUUUUCUUCAUGAGUAACUUACUGUGAAAUUUGAGAUCACCUAAUAAAGGAUCAAUAUUUCCUAUCAAGAAAAGAUUGGCUUCUCUAUCUUUCAGAUUUUGUUUUCUGAUCUAUCCUUGAAAUAUUUCCUGUUUAUUAGGUUCACCCUCAAAGUUUGCUGACGUUUUUUCUCCUAUUUACUUUGUCUAGAAAAUUUGUGACAUAAUCAGUUGUUGUAAGAAUUUUUGUGUCUUAACUACUGAUUACUAGAGUGACUGCUGUUACUGUAUUGUAGCUUGUACAUUGUUUGAAAAACUGUUAGCCAUGUACUGAAGUCGUAUUGUUGGAUGAGUUAUGGUUACCGUGGAGAUUGCUGGAGAGUGGCUUGAAUUCCAAAGCCAAUAUAUUUGGGGAAUUUUACCACGCUUUCCCCCUCCCUUCCUUUUUUUCCUUGUUCUGUUGAAUCACUAUAAAUUGUGUGGCUAUUUUCGCCUAUGGUUUUUUUUUUUUCCCCACCUCCUAGAUUAAUUAAUUGUACAUGAACUUUAGGAACAUCAUUGUACUGUCAUUUGUUCUCUCUUAGAUUCACUGUAAGAUGAGGUACGGGUUAUAGUGAAGAUUACUAGAGUGGCUUGAAAUCCAAGCCAAUAUAAUUUUGAAAUUUUACCACUUGCAUUCUUCCUCAAAAAUGAGGACUGUACCCAAGAAUGAUGAGAAAGGGUCUCCUGUAUCUCUAUGCUCGCAGCAUGAACUUCACCUGCUUGGACUGCUUGUUUGGUCAAUGAAGAUUGCCUACAACUCACAAAUCCAGGAUUUAAUAUACACAUUCAAAGCAUAGUUAUUGCAAAACAUGCAUGUGCUUAAGUUGUGGCUGUGAUGAUGAGGGUAAUGAAAUUGCUAGAGUAUGAAUUAAAGCAUUGUUGUUGUUGGUUUUGAUUAUGACUUUCUAUCUCUCUUUUUUGUCAAAUUAGGGAUUUAAACCUUGAGGCUUGUACUAAAUGAUAGAAAGAGUCAAUAAUUCAUCUACCAGAGAGUAGACAAGUUGCAGAGUAGUAUUUGUCUGAUUGGGGUAAAGUGGGACAAUUUGUCUGAUUGGGAUACAAUGGAUUAGUAUAAAUGAUUUCGGAAACAAUAUUGUUAUCUAUUAUAUGAUAUUGUAGAUUUUUACCUGCAUCAGGUCAGCUGUCUAUGCCUAUAGAUCAAUAUCGUAUGUAAUAGAAGCAUUGUUUCAUUUCCAAUGAUAGCCAUUGCCUGUUUUGAUUGCAAUAUUCAAGUUGAGCAUACAAGAAUUUGGUUUCCCUGCUUGCCUGUACUUGUUUAACACUUUUCCCAGGAUCUUAGGCUCUCCAAUAUAAGCCUUCUCAAUAUCCUCCUUUGUGUCCAACAACAUGAAGCUUCUUAACAUCAUAUGUAAUGUGGUUGAGAAAUCCUUUCAAGAGGUUGAGCUUAGAUGAAGGUUUGGAUUUCCAACUCAGUAAAGUGAUAGCAGAGAUUUUACUAUGGUGAUGACUGUCCUAUUUGUAUGACACUGUCUCCUGUGGGUAAUCUAUGAAGGUUCCUUUUCAGAUGAACAGAAUACAUAUAUCAUUUCAGCCUUCCACAUAUAAUAUAGGUUGUUCCAGUUAUGUAUGAUAAGAGGAGGGGUGGUGGAACUCCAUAAAAUAUCUCAUAAGGUGUGAAAUUGGUUGGUGAAUGAAUGUUUGUGUUGUACCACCAUGCAGCCAAUGCUAAGCAUUUUGACCACUCCUUGGGCUUGGCUCCUGUGAAAAUGGAGGUACCUUUCAGGCACUUAUUCACAAUUUCAGAUUGUGCAUCUGUUUAGGCACAAUUUCAGAUUGUUCAUCCGUUUGGGGAUGAUAAGCCAAACAACAAAUUAGUUGGGUUCCCUAUAAUUUGAAGAAUGCUUGCCAAAAUGCACUAUUAAAAGUGAGGUCACAAUCACUUAAUAUUGAAAUUGGCAUGCUAUGUAAUUUUAUUUUUUUUAUUUUUUUUAUUUUGUGAAUGAAAGACUAUUUAUUAAGAUGCAAAAAAAUGCGUGAAAUUACAGUUACAUGAAUCCUGAAUCCACAUAGUGGAUAAUGGCCAAUUUACUCU